GACGAACCGUGCGAACGUUGUUCGGAAUCACUGGGCUUAAAGGGCGCGUAGGCGGGCCUCCAAGUCCGGGGUGAAAUCCUCCAGCCUAACUGGAGAAGAGCCUCGGAGACUGGGGGCCUCGAGGGAGGUAGGGGCGUGCGGAACUAUGGGUGGAGCGGUGAAAUGCAUUGAUAUCCAUAGGAACUCCGGUGGCGAAGGCGGCACGCUGGACCUCUUCUGACGCUGAGGCGCGAAAGCCAGGGGAGCAAACGGG
rnacentral:rRNA from 1 species